CAAUCAGAAAAAUGUCCACCAGCUGAUCACAUAUCCCAUAACUGCUCUUCCCUCAUCAUCUUUAAAAAUUUUUCCCUGAAAGACUGGAGGAAUUAGGGUCUUUUAAGACCCAGGCUUGCUUGUUGGAUGUACCUCAAUAAACACUGCACUUUCCUUGACUACAACCCUCUUUCAGUAGAGUGGCUUUACUGACUGCACGCAAGCCUGAGGCAAGGUUGGUCUCACCUGUUCUUCAGGUGAGAACAGUUGACUUGCCAGGAUUUGGAACCAUUAGUUUGGAUCAGAAUCGCCUGAAGGCCUUGUUAAGUCACAGAGUAACGGGCCUCUCGCGCAGAGCCUCUGAUCUGAAAUAAUUAAUUUGGGGGUGGAGCAUUUGCUCCUGUAACAAGUUCGGAAUGAGGAUAGUGCUGCGGCUGCAAGAACCACGCUUCCAGAAAGCGGAACGAGAGAGAUCUUGAUCAGGAGAGGCACCUGAGGCUCUUCGGGACAGAAGGGUAAUUCACAGGACAGUAAGAAGAACAUUUGAAUGAACGCCUCCUUGAAAACCCCAGCUGAAGACAGUCAUCUUCAAAUAGAUGAAGAGGAUGAAUAUAAAUGGGACACACUUAUCUUUCAACCAUCAAAUUCUGUUUUCUGCAUCUGUAAAGGUUUUGUCUUCUCUCCUGUUUUUAUAGAUGAAAAAAAGUGAAGUUAACCUCUCCAAUUAUCGCCUCUUCUCUUUUCUUAUGAAUGUCAGAUUUGCAUUUAUUAUUAUUCUUUCACAUAGCAAAUUUUGUUCAUCUUCAUUAGAUCAUGCAUAUUUGCAUAAAGUAACUUUCAUCUUUUAAACAGUCUUUCUUUUAACUCCACCUUUUCUCCCAACUAUUAUUCCUCUAUUCCCUUUCCUAAGCAAAUCUCAAAAUAAUUUUUUACACUCACUGUCUUCACUUUCUCAUUUAUCAGUUACUCUUUACCCUAUUCCAACCUAAUGAUGAAAGGUUGAUGGUUAAAGUUAACAAUGACCUAUAAAGUGGCAAAUCCAAGAGCUGCUUUUCUGUCUUCACUUCAUUUAAUAUCUCCACAAUAUUUAACAUCACUGAUCACAUUCUCUCUUUAUGAUAUACUUGAAUCUUUUUACUACUAUAAUAGACUCAAUAAUAG